UAAACGGCCCUUUUCAGGGCCAUCACUCGUUCAACCUCGACGCUU
rfam:Acyrthosiphon pisum strain LSR1 Contig18901, whole genome shotgun sequence.